UUUAAAUAACAACCAUAUAUUACAACCAUUUAGAAAAUACAUAAAUAAUAGUCUAAUGUCUUACGUUUCUAUCUUUGAAAGCCAAAUCAAUAUUUUCUUCAUCAUCAACAAGGGAUAAUAGUCUAAUAUCUCAAGUUUCUAUCUUUUUGUGCAAGAGGCUACAAGUCAGGGUUCAUAGCCUGACACCUCGAGUAAAAAAGAAAAAUAAAAUUACAAUGUACCAAAUGAUCAAGUGGUGCUAUUACAAAAGAAUUCCGUCAAUGUCUGUUCAAAUAAGCUGAUACUCUUUUCUUCACUUCAAUUUUGUACUGAGCUUCAGUAGUUUCAUCCAUUUCUUGUUGGAAGACGACCCAGUCGCCAGGCCUGAGAUCUUUAGUGCGAGUAAACUGAAGCCAAUCUCCAAAAAUAACAGGUUUGGAAUACCCUUCUGCAGGAAUUUUGUAACGAAAUGUCCACACGACCCCAGUCCCGCUAUCCUUAACGUGCAAACUUAUUUCCUGACCCUUUUCAGCAGGGGGGAGAGCUCUGAUACAGUUUUCUGGAACAGACAACCUUCCGGUAAUAUCAGUGCUUGUAAGUAUUUUUGAGAACACCACCAUUGUUGAGUUGUGUUUGUGCUUUGACGCAGCUAAUGCACUGCGGAGUGAGGAGUUUCUUUUCUGCAGAAAUUAUUUAUAGAGUGAAAAUUCAGUGCAGCAUACACUUCUACCCACAUGGCCAUGAGUUAAUAUGGUACUAAUAAAGAAUCAGAUUUUCUUUAAAUUGUUAACGGUCUUUUCAGAGGUGGUCCACAUUCACGCAAUCAUUUAGAAAAUUACACCUGCUCGUACUAUGAGUUGCUUAAUCUGUCGUAUCUCUUUCUUGACCAACCUUCUUACUAGAUUCUUGCACAAAAAUUAAAUUGGUACUAUAGAUUGCUUUCUUUAGAACAAAUUUAAAAGAUAAUCUUUUUGAACAGUCGAUGAGAUUGUCAUA
rnacentral:misc_RNA from 1 species